rnacentral:lncRNA from 1 species
UAGAUAUUCUGAAAGAUGGUGAAUGGACUGAGUACAUAGGGAACCCUAUCAUGAACAUUGCCUCAUACCAUAUAGGGUAUCGAGGAAUGGUAUUUUUGGUGCUCAUACCGGACGGGGUAUGGGGACGACCCGAUUCACCCUCAUAUUAGACGGGAUAUUGAGGGAUGGUAUUUUUGGUGCUCAUAUCGGGCGGGGUAUGGACGACCGAUUUGUUGACAAAUAUCUAGUUAGGCUGUCGACAUUAUCCAUUUAUAAUUUCACAUACCUUUUUUCAUUUUUCUUAGUCUCAAUUAUCCAAUCAAACAUAAACACGUAAACCAGUAAUGGACACAAAACAAGGCAACACAACAUCGGGUUCACAAUAAUUCAAAUCAUAAUAAAUGAAACCGUGAUUCAUGCAUACGAAACCAUAGAAUAAACACAUCAGGCACCAUACUGCAUUCAAAACUGUAAAAUAAAUCAAACAAUAACUGACCAAAAAAAUACAUCAGAUUCGGGCUCCAUUAGCAACCUUAAUUAAUUAUACAUAUCUAUUAAUUCACAACAUACCAUUUUAUCAUUUAUUAAGCUUUAAUGCCGUAAUAGGAAAUAAGGUGAGAGAUCCUUACUUGUUUUGGAGUCUGAAAUUGGGUUCUCACUGUGCCUACGGGCAGUCCCUAGAUUCCCUGAAUUUUUUUUCGGAAACUGAAACUCACUUCUGGUACCUGCACAUGUCCCCAAAAAACCCCAAAUCAGACCAAGGGCCUUUUCAGCCAAUUUUGAAAUUCUGGCACGGCAGCUCCGCCGUGCUCCGACAU